GAUGAACGCUGACAGAAUGCUUAACACAUGCAAGUCGAUUCAAGUUACCUUCGGGUAAUGAGGAUGGCGGACGGGUGAGUAACGCGUAAGGAACUUGCCUCUUGGUCUGGGACAACUGUUGGAAACGACAGCUAAUACCGGAUAUUAUGAGAUUCUCGCAUGGGAAACUUAUGAAAGCUAUAUGCGCCAAGAGAGAGCCUUGCGUUCCAUUAGCCAGUUGGUGGGGUAACGGCCCACCAAGGCGACGAUGGAUAGCCGGCCUGAGAGGGUGAACGGCCACAAGGGGACUGAGACACGGCCCUUACUCCUACGGGAGGCAGCAGUGGGGAAUAUUGGACAAUGGGCCACAAGCCUGAUCCAGCAAUUCUGUGUGCACGAUGAAGGUCUUCGGAUUGUAAAGUGCUUUCAGUUGGGAAGAAGAAAGUGACGGUACCAACAGAAGAAGCGACGGCUAAAUACGUGCCAGCAGCCGCGGUAAUACGUAUGUCGCAAGCGUUAUCCGGAUUUAUUGGGCGUAAGGCGCGUCUAGGCGGAAAAAUAAGUCUGAUGUUAAAAUGCGGGGCUCAACUCCGUAUUGCGUUGGAAACUGUUUUUCUAGAGUACUGGAGAGGUGGGCGGAACUACAAGUGUAGAGGUGAAAUUCGUAGAUAUUUGUAGGAAUGCCGAUGGAGAAGUCAGCUCACUGGACAGANACUGACGCUGAAGCGCGAAAGCGUGGGGAGNAAACAGGAUUAGAUACCCUGGUAGUCCACGCCGUAAACGAUGAUCACUAG
rnacentral:rRNA from 1 species